rnacentral:rRNA from 1 species
AGAGUUUGAUCCUGGCUCAGAUUGAACGCUGGCGGAAUGCUUUACACAUGCAAGUCGAACGGCAGCACGGGAGCUUGCUCCUGGUGGCGAGUGGCGAACGGGUGAGUAAUAUAUCGGAACGUAUCCAAUAAUGGGGGAUAACUAACCGAAAGGUUGGCUAAUACCGCAUACGCCCUACGGGGGAAAGCAGGGGAUCGUAAGACCUUGCGUUAAUGGAGCGGCCGAUAUCUGAUUAGCUAGUUGGUGGGGUAAAGGCUCACCAAGGCUUUGAUCAGUAGCUGGUCUGAGAGGACGACCAGCCACACUGGAACUGAGACACGGUCCAGACUCCUACGGGAGGCAGCAGUGGGGAAUUUUGGACAAUGGGGGCAACCCUGAUCCAGCCAUUCCGCGUGAGUGAAGAAGGCCUUCGGGUUGUAAAGCUCUUUCGCAAGGGAAGAAAACUUACUUAAUAACACUAGGUGAGGCUGACGGUACCUUGAUAAGAAGCACCGGCUAACUACGUGCCAGCAGCCGCGGUAAUACGUAGGGUGCGAGCGUUGAUCGGAAUUACUGGGCGUAAAGCGUGCGCAGGCGGUUUGAAAAGUCAGAUGUGAAAUCCCCGGGCUCAACCUGGGAACUGCGUUUGAAACUCUCAAACUAGAGUAUGGCAGAGGGGGGUAGAAUUCCACGUGUAGCAGUGAAAUGCGUAGAGAUGUGGAGGAAUACCAAUGGCGAAGGCAGCCCCCUGGGUCAAUACUGACGCUCAUGCACGAAAGCGUGGGGAGCAAACUGGAUUAGAUACCCUGGUAGUCCACGCCCUAAACGAUGUCUACUAGUUGUUGGGAGAGUAAAAUCUCUUAGUAACGCAGCUAACGCGCGAAGUAGACCGCCUGGGGAGUACGGUCGCAAGAUUAAAACUCAAAGGAAUUGACGGGGGCCCGCACAAGCGGUGGAUUAUGUGGAUUAAUUCGAUGCAACGCGAAAAACCUUACCUGGCCUUGACAUGCUACUAACGACGCAGAGAUGCAUUAGGUGCCCGAAAGGGAAAGUAGACACAGGUGCUGCAUGGCUGUCGUCAGCUCGUGUCGUGAGAUGUUGGGUUAAGUCCCGCAACGAGCGCAACCCUUGCCAAUAAUUGCCAUCAUUUAGUUGGGCACUUUAUUGGGACUGCCGGUGACAAACCGGAGGAAGGUGGGGAUGACGUCAAGUCCUCAUGGCCCUUAUGGCCAGGGCUUCACACGUAAUACAAUGGUCGGUACAGAGGGUUGCCAACC